AGUGAACGCUGGCGGUAGGCCUAACACAUGCGAGUCGAACGGCAGCACAGUAAGAGCUUGCUCUUACGGGUGGCGAGUGGCGGACGGGUGAGGAAUACAUCGGAAUCUACUUUUUCGUGGGGGAUAACGUAGGGAAACUUACGCUAAUACCGCAUACGACCUACGGGUGAAAGCAGGGGAUCUUCGGACCUUGCGCGAUUGAAUGAGCCGAUGUCGGAUUAGCUAGUUGGCGGGGUAAAGGCCCACCAAGGCGACGAUCCGUAGCUGGUCUGAGAGGAUGAUCAGCCACACUGGAACUGAGACACGGUCCAGACUCCUACGGGAGGCAGCAGUGGGGAAUAUUGGACAAUGGGCGCAAGCCUGAUCCAGCCAUACCGCGUGGGUGAAGAAGGCCUUCGGGUUGUAAAGCCCUUUUGUUGGGAAAGAAAAGCAGCAGGUUAAUACCCCGCUGUUCUGACGGUACCCAAAGAAUAAGCACCGGCCAACUUCGUG
rnacentral:rRNA from 1 species